rnacentral:rRNA from 1 species
AUUGAACGCUGGCGGCAUGCCUUACACAUGCAAGUCGAACGGCAGCACGGGUGCUUGCACCUGGUGGCGAGUGGCGAACGGGUGAGUAAUACAUCGGAACGUACCUUAUCGUGGGGGAUAACGCAGCGAAAGCUGUGCUAAUACCGCAUACGCCCUGAGGGGGAAAGCGGGGGAUCGAAAGACCUCGCGCGAUUAGAGCGGCCGAUGCCUGAUUAGCUUGUUGGUGGGGUAAAAGCCCACCAAGGAGACGAUCAGUAGCUGGUCUGAGAGGACGAUCAACCAAACUGGGGCUGAGACACGGCCGAGACACCUUCGGGAGGCAGCAGUGGGGAAUUUUGGACAAUGGGGGCGACCCUGAUCCAGCAAUGCCGCGUGAGUGAAGAAGGCCUUCGGGUUGUAAAGCUCUUUUGUCAGGGAAGAAACACCGGCUCUAACACAGUCCGGGAAUGACGGUACCUGAAGAAUAAGCACCGGCUAACUACGUGCCAGCAGCCGCGGUAA